UAACAAUUAGGUGGUUUAUGACAUAGACAGGCUUCUAAACACAGGUCAAACAUCGUCCUUCGCAUCUCACCUGAAGCAUGCCGGCAACUCCAGUCCACCAAAUGCAGUUCCCUUGGGACCUACGCUGGAUGGACACACAGGGUCUCAUGAGAGGCAAACCCCUUCCGAUUUGAUACAUUAUCUUUCAAACUACUGCCUCUACUGACAUGAACAGGGAAAUCUAUGAACUUGCCUCAUCUCAGCGUUGGCCUGUCUUUAAACAGAGCACAAGUGUAUUAUUAACAGUUAUUGGCUGUGUCCCAAAAUCAUAACCAGGCCCAGUUUCUAGACUCCGGCUUCUACUAAGGAAGACUGUGGCUUUCACCUGGGCUGGAACUCUCGUCUAUUCCUCAUAGCUUUUCUCCCUGAUUGGCUUUGGUUUCUGUUUUUUUGCAAACCUUUUCUUGUUUGGUUUCUCUUCUACUCUUAAAUGCCAUAGGCCUUUGACAACAACAUUACAGAUUCUCUUUUCUGUUAAGGGAAGUAAGUACUUGUAGGCAGCUUGGGAUAGAUAUGCUGAUGGAAGCAUUAUCUUCUUACUAUAUAUUUAGAAUAGCAAUCAAGUAUUAACAAAAUGAAUUGUAAUGGAGCCAACCAUUUGUUUUGUCAUCCUUAAAUUUCAUAUGGAGAGUUUAGCAUAAACUAAUUACUCUUGAUGAUUAUUUGACAGAUUGGUUUCAAAUACUAUGGAAAGAGAUAAUUUGAAGCAUUGGGUUGAAUAAACAAUCACUAUGUUUCUCUAAGAGUCUGAUUAAUUCUAAAUAUACAUGUCUUGUUUAGAAUGAACUGCACUGGAUAAAUGCAAUGCACAUCCUUUCCUUAAUGCCAAAAAGCUUUCCAAACCAGUCCUAUUUUUGACACAUUUUAUUGGGCUAAGUUGAUUGUAAGUUUAAUAAAGACACUGAGGUAAGGACAAUAUCAUAUAUAAUCUGUAUUAAUAGUGUUCACAAGUAAUUAUUUUCUUAUUAAUAUAAGUGAACUAUUUCCUUAUGUAAUCAACCAUAAAUAAAUGGGAUUUUUAUUUUUAGUGUACUUUUCUUCUUG
rnacentral:lncRNA from 1 species